AACGUAGGGUGCAAGCGUUGUCCGGAAUUACUGGGUGUAAAGGGAGCGCAGGCGGACCGGCAAGUUGGAAGUGAAAACUAUGGGCUCAACCCAUAAAUUGCUUUCAAAACUGCUGGCCUUGAGUAGUGCAGAGGUAGGUGGAAUUCCCGGUGUAGCGGUGGAAUGCGUAGAUAUCGGGAGGAACACCAGUGGCGAAGGCGACCUACUGGGCACCAACUGACGCUGAGGCUCGAAAGCAUGGGUAGCAAACAGG
rnacentral:rRNA from 4 species